AUGAUGUCGUUACAGCAAACAAAAGUGUUCGUCGGCAGCCUGCCUCAGGGUUCCAAACCUGAAGAUUUAAGAAAGUUAUUCGAGCGCUUCGGCGCCGUCACAGAAUGUGACAUUAUGAACCGAUGCGGAUUCGUACACAUGCAAACCGAAGACCAAGCUACGGCCGCUAUCAGAGGGUUAAAUAAUACCACGUUCAACGGCGCCGUUAUAUCUGUCGAGCGGGGUCGUAUCAAGGAGCGCGGACAACGAGGCGGCGGCCGUGGCGGAGGCAUGCGCGGCGGCAUGCGGGGCGGCAUGGACCGGCGCGGCGGCGGCAUGGACCGGCGGGGCGGCGGCGGGCCCAUGCGCGGCGGAGGCGGCGGCGGCCGGGACGCGCCCUACAUGCGGGAGUCGCGGCCCAUGGGGCACAUGCGAGGCGGAGACAUGCGCGGGCCGCCCAUGGGAGGCAUGGGCAUGGGAGGCGGCGCGCGGAACGGCAUGGGCGGCGGCUACGACCGCGGGGCGGAGCGCGCGCCGGCCGGCUACGACGACCGCUACAACGGCUACGGCGGGGAGGACCGCCGCGGCUUCGCGCUGUCCCGCGACCCGUACGCGGCGCCCGCGCCCAUGUACGCGGACGACCGCCGCGGCUACGCGGCGCCGGUGGACGACAUGGCGGGCAUGUACCCGGAGGAGCGCCGCGCGCCGCUCUACCCGGACGAGCGCGAGCUGCUGGAGCGCCGCGCGCCGUACCGCGCGCCCGUGCCCAUCGCCGGCGGCUACGAGCGCAGCGCGGCCCCGCAGCGGGGCGCGGGGAUGGGCAACGGAGACAUGUUCAGCAGGAGGUCCCCCAUGGACCGCGGUGGAGCAGUUCCGUCCGGUUAUGACAGAGAUCCCUAUGCACAACAAUACCCACCAAUGGGACGCGGCGGCGGCGGCGCGGCGCGCGGCGGCGGCGCCAUGGGCCCGCGCCGGUACUAGCGCUCCUGCGCCACUCUAGGAUAAGAUAGCGUUACUCCACGUGAACAAACUGUACCGGUAGUCUUCCGGGACCGAGGAUCGUUGCGUUGCGUUCGGUAAAAGUCGACGACGACAUUGAAUGAUCAUGUAAAUUAAUUAAUUAAUUAAUAAAUGAAGAUUGAGACGCGGGGUUUUAUUUCGAACCGGACGGUGGCUCGCCCUAUGCGAAUCCCGCUUGCGAUUGUAUCGGCCGAUCUUAAGGAAUAAGUUAAAUUGUAUACUUAAUUAUAGAUUAAAUCCCUUUAAAUAUAGCAGAUAUUUUUUACUUUAAUCUUUUCUUUGAGCACUAAAACUCAGAUAUCCUAUUUGUGCAUGAUACCUGGUGUCCAGUCUCUGCUUUAUACUGCUUCCAUGGUUGCGGAAUAUAUGUUUAUAGCUGUGGUUUUAUUGCAGGUGUAGACUAUUAGAGACGCGACGGUCAAUCGUCACGAGUAUAAUCUUCUGCAGUAGAACCAAAUUUAAAUUAAGCAGAUGAUAAAAUGCUGGGGUGCGUUCAUUUGCGGUCAUAUGAAUUCGACAGGUAGUGACUACGUUGUCACACCGCGUUUAUAUCAGGGCUGCGCUAUAAACGCUAGACGAACGCCGCCAAAAGCUUCAGAUUUAGGAUUGACCAGAAAUGUUUUCAGACGAAAUAACUUGAUGUCUAUCUAAACGCAUAACACCUUUAUAUUCUAAUAAUUUAUCGUUAUACUGAACGCACCCCAGGCGAGGGUGGUUCAAACCAGCCAUCUAAUCUACAGGCCACAUCACAUAUGAUGAUGGGCCGCAUGUGAGAGCUAGUUAGAGCCGCGUCACGCGAGCCCUGCUCUCCGCAUUUUCUGGCCCACGUUAUCGUGCGUCGACUAUCAACAAAGUGCGUGCGAGUCGUUUUCAGAUAGAUUAGAUUCUUCAUGCGGACGACAGGCGUACAGCGGCGGCAUAACCAUGCUAUACAACGUCAACUUUUACGGUUAGGCGUCAACGGCUGAAGACGAGCGCCUAGCGAACAAUAACAAUCGGUAUGGUCUGGAGGUUGAAGCUUCAGGACAAUUGGAUUGAAUAUCCUUGUCAGUCUGGAUAUGGGCAGAGACGCCACCAGGAAUGCCCUGCGUCGGGAAAGUGGAUCGUUACUGAAAUGAAUAAACGUGUAUUUUUUU